rnacentral:rRNA from 1 species
UACGAAGGGUGCAAGCGUUACUCGGAAUUACUGGGCGUAAAGGGUGCGUAGGCGGCUUUUUAAGUCUGUCGUGAAAUCCCCGGGCUCAACCUGGGAAUGGCGAUGGAUACUGGGCAGCUAGAGUGUGUCAGAGGAUGGUGGAAUUCCCGGUGUAGCGGUGAAAUGCGUAGAGAUCGGGAGGAACAUCAGUGGCGAAGGCGGCCAUCUGGGACAACACUGACGCUGAAGCACGAAAGCGUGGGGAGCAAACAGG